rnacentral:ncRNA from 1 species
GGCUUAAUUUGACUCAACACGGAGAAACCUAUCAGCUCUAGACAUAGUAAGGAUUGACAGACUGGGAGCUCUUUCUUGAUUGUAUGAGUGGUGGUGCGUGAGCAAUUCAAUAUGUAAAUCUAAUUACCCAAAAUAACCAAAAGGAGUAGUAC